rnacentral:rRNA from 1 species
UGCAUCGAUGAAAAACGCAGCGAAAUGCGAUAAGUAAUGUGAAUUGUCAGAAUUCAGUGAAUCAUCGAAUCUUUGAACGCACAUUGCGCCCCCUGGUAUUCCGGGGGGCAUGCCUGUUCGAGCGUCAUUU